rnacentral:lncRNA from 1 species
AGCCAUGGUGACCUUCCCUCAAGAGGCCAGGGUCUCUCAUCCUCUAGGCCUUUGGCAUUCCUUUGCUGAGAAUGCUGGGGUGGGGGCAAUGGCCAAUCUGAGGAUGGUGACUAAGCCAGAGGUGGGGCACAGGGCACUGAAAGUGGAACAGAGAUGUGCCAGUCCCAAGGAAGGGCACACUACACAGUGUUCAAGGCUCUCAGCAAGGUAGCUCAGGAUGAUGCGGGCCCAACCUCGGUCAGAUUUUGUCACGUCCUAAGCCCCGGCAUUCCCAUCUGUAAAUCACAGUCACUAUCUACACACAACGGUGCUAUCACCCGAGGUUAUCAGAAAGUGGGUCACUGUGUCGGUGAAGAGCAGGCGGUUUCUUGGGAGCCAGGGAGUUCAGAGUUCAUGAAUAAAUGAAGAAGGAGGAAGCAAAAAAGGAUGUUUAUUGA